CCAGACUCCUACGGGAGGCAGCAGUGGGGAAUAUUGCACAAUGGGGGAAACCCUGAUGCAGCAACGCCGCGUGAGUGAAGAAGUCAUUCGUGAUGUAAAGCUCUAUCAGCAGGGAAGAAAAUGACGGUACCUGACUAAGAAGCCCCGGCUAACUACGUGCCAGCAGCCGCGGUAAUACGUAGGGGGCAAGCGUUAUCCGGAUUUACUGGGUGUAAAGGGAGCGUAGACGGCGACGCAAGUCUGAAGUGAAAUGCCAGUGCUCAACACUGGAACUGCUUUGGAAACUGUGUAGCUAGAGUGCAGGAGAGGUAAGUGGAAUUCCUAGUGUAGCGGUGAAAUGCGUAGAUAUUAGGAGGAACACCAGUGGCGAAGGCGGCUUACUGGACUGUAACUGACGUUGAGGCUCGAAGGCGUGGGGAGCAAACAGGAUUAGAUACCCCAGUA
rnacentral:rRNA from 1 species